AAAACUGCUGGAGUGCAGGAGGGAAGGCAGCCUAUGAAGUAGGUGCACCUUGUCCUGAAUGCAAAUAGUGUGCAAGCAAGAACAGUACCAAGGGCUUAUGAAGAAAAGAAAUCAGGAAAGCACCAGCUUGAGAAGAAUAAAUGCUAACUGAAGUUAUUCGGAAGCCAGGAGCUUAAUUUCAUGCAUAGGACUUAAUAAAUAAGAAGAUGUAGUCAUGAUUUACUGUAAAACCAAAGAACCACUGAAUCAUGAGCCAGCAGAACUAUUUUCCAGAGCUUUAAAUAUUUCAUCUUCUUGCCUGGAUACUGGAUUUUCACUAUUUGUGCUCACCAGAAGAUUGCAGCCCACUCUUCUCAGCAGACCACAGCAGAAUGAACUCAGAAGUUUCAAUCUAUACAGACUAGUUUGUUUUUCAUCAAACCCAUCGUUGAUAUUGAUAUUGAAAAACAUUGAUAUGCAGCUGUGUAAAUUUGUGUAAAAGUUUUUGCAAGUAUUAUAUCCAGAGACUGCAUUCAUGAGAGAAAUCCCAAGACUGGGAAAAGAUAUGUAUUUUUAUGCUAUCUACUCCUUGGCAACCUUCUAGUAUUCCUUUCAGAAGCAAAUCUCCACUCCUUACUGCCAUUCUCCUAUUCCUUCCAUCAAUACUGAAAUCGAGUUAUUAGCACAUCCACCUAUUGCUUCAUACACACAAAUGUGUGCUUCAGUGAAGUGUAGUAUCUCUCUCUUUGUGGAGAUUAUUUCAGCUGUCCAAGUUCAGCCAAGACUAGAUGACAUUACUGCUUUCUGUGAGAUAGAACAUUCUUUUCCAUCCCAUGAAGCAAUGUUCUAGCAACAUUUCAAGGAUUUUGCAUACACAAAAUUUUACAUAAGCUUCAAUAAUUUGUGCAACUACUUAAUUUCUCUGCUUAACACUCAUAUUUCUUCUUCUUGAAGAAUAAUAGACUAAGCAGCUGAUGAAGUUUACCUAUUCUUGAUUUCUAUGUUCUUGAUCCAUUGGACCACUUUGAUAGGAGACUGCAUAUUUCCAGAAGACCUGCAGGGUAAGCAGGAGACAUAGAUGUCCCAUGAACAAGUAUUAGGAGUAAGGACCAGAAUGCUGUUAAAAUAAUUAAUUAAAUAAAUAAACAAAUAAUAAAGGAGCAGAUAGGCAUCCAGAUUUAGAGGUGACAGAAACAAAGCAGUAUUACCCACUCUGUAUACUUUAUUGUUAUCCAGAAAUUGGAUUAAAGUAAAAUUUAAAAGAAAGAGCCUACUUUGCAAGGACAAGAGUUGGAGGGAGAUUGGUUUGCAAUUCAUAUUUUAAUUUGCAAUAUCCAAUUUUAAAAUAUUAAAGUAAGUGUGAUGUAGUGUCUUUUUUCAUGUUGAGAAAGAUCUAGAUACAAAGUCCAUAGUACUGAACAGAAAUAUUCCAGUUUGUGUUGAGAUUCGUUGAACAAAUCAGAGUAGAGCAGUGUUUCACAAACCAACUUUAGCUCAGGGAAGCUGAUCUCCACAGACUCCCACAACAGCUGAUGGAGAGAUAAAAGCAUCUCUACAGUUAAUUCAGAUGAGUAUUCUAUCAUCCUCAAAAGAGAGAUUCUGAAUCUUAUUUUUGAUUCCACUUUGCCCUCAGGAGGAACUUAUUUCUUUCUAUGUAUUGCCAAAGAAACUUGGGAAGAGUCAUCACCAAAAGCAAUGAGUAGUCUUCAUGUUUACACCCCAAAGAUUAUACUGUUUCACAGUAACUUAGAUGCAACCUGAUCUAAACUAUAAACUCAGAUGUUAUCUGUAUCAAUUAUCUUAACAUAUUUUUACUUAUAACUUAUAUUGAAAUAUUAAGUGGUCAUUUUUCAUAUCCUAAUAAGCAGUGAUACAUAAUAAAUAUUUACUGUGAAAGCAUGUAUUCAUCUUGAUUUUAUGUAUGUAUGCAUAUCUUGAAUUUGGGGGUAAAAUUAGAUUUUUUCAAAGUUUUCUUUUUUGUGACUAUUUUGUGACCUUGUAUUACUCAAAGUGAUUUAAUGAAAUUUUUUUGCUUAAUUAAAACAAGAUUUCCAGGGUAGGUUCAAUAAAAUGAGAAAAUAAUACCUC
ensembl:lncRNA